CGCAGCCGCGGUAAUUCCAGCUCCAAUAGCGUAUAUUAAAGUUGUUGCAGUUAAAAAGCUCGUAGUUGAAUUUCGGGGUUAGCAGGUCGGUCGUGCCAUCGGUAUGAACUGGUCUCGCUGAUCCCUCCCUCUUGACGAACUGUGAUGCCAUUAAUUUGGUGUCGCAGGGAAUCAGGACUGUUACUUUGAAAAAAUUAGAGUGUUUAAAGCAGGCUCACGCUUGAAUACAUUAGCAUGGAAUAAUGAAAUAGGACGUUUGAUCCUAUUUUGUUGGUUUCUAGGAUUGACGUAAUGAUUAAUAGGGGUAGUUGGGGGCAUUAGUAUUCAAUUGUCAGAGGUGAAAUUCUUGGAUUUAUUGAAGACUAACUACUGCGAAAGCAUUUGCCAAGGAUGUUUUCAUUAAUCAAGAACGAAAGUUAGGGGAUCGAAGACGAUCAGAUACCGUCGUAGUCUUAACCAUAAACUAUGCCGACUAGGGAUCGGAUGAUGUUAAUUUUUUAAUGUACUCAUUCGGCGUCCG
rnacentral:rRNA from 1 species